AUGAGUCAUCUCACUGACUCUUGUGAGCCCAGAGAGAUCCAAUGCAGGGUGCCUCACUCCAUGCUCAAGUCACAGAUGUACCCGCCUUCAUCUGACUGAUACAGGCUAGAGCCAAUAUUCAAGGCCUGGUCAUUUUCCUCGCAAGGUGCCCAUUUCCUCUCAUGCCGUGCUUCCCUAACAGGAGGCUCCAGAGAGGCACCAACAGGACACCUGGGCUUCUUGCUGAUUAAUCUCGCAGUGUUAAACACUUCUGCGGAAUAAAACAAUGAUGUCAACAAACAAAAUGGAGAAUAUCUUGAAUUCAACAACUGUGCACAGGAGAGAAGACUGUAUUUUUGGUUUGGAACACUGUCAAAAGGUGUUCACUAUUUUGGAAAAUGGCAGUGCCUGACAUCCCUGACAGAAGCGCUUCUCAUGGUGGUGUAGCCACAUGACACUUCUGUAUUAGCCUGGACUUACAGCUGUGGCUUUCAGUAGUGAUUCUACUUACAGUAAAAGGUAGGCUCUCUGUCUGUUGUGUGGACUAGCACAUCCCAAGCACCUACACAGGACCUGGAACAUAGAGGGCACCUGAGGUGGAAGAGUGGAAAUGGACUUGGGCUAAUUGCACAGCUGUGCAUAUGCCAUGCUCCCAAAAGCUGCACACCUGAGUAACAUAGAAUCUUGAGCUGUCUGGGUGAAAGACAUCAGUGAAUUCCAGGCCAGUAACAUCCCAGAGCUCUGGACCCCAACACCACCUCCUCCUCUAAAUAGCUUCUCAAUGUCACCUGAAGAGUCACAGGAGAGAACAGCAGUGUUUUAUCAUCAUUCGGUGGCUGGCUCUGUAAACUCUUUCUCUCUCUUAAUGAGUGAAGGCCAAAGGAAGGGAAGCUGGUGGA
rnacentral:lncRNA from 1 species